ensembl:snoRNA small nucleolar RNA, H/ACA box 52
GGGUCCAUCCUAAUCCCUGCUGGUCAGCCCGUGGCCUGCCAGGUUUCGCUUGUGGACCAGAGCACUCUAGAAGCGUCACCCAGAGAACGGAGCAGGUUUCAGUGGGCUUGUACCGGGGAUGCUUCUGGACAUUU